UCUUCCAUGCAAGUCGAGCGGAUGACGGAGCUUGCUCUAUGAUUUGACGACGGACGGAUGAGUGAUGCCUGUGAGUCUGCCUGGUUGUGGGGGGGGGCUUUUCGAAGGGAACGCUANUACCGCCCACAUCCUACCGGAGAAAGCAGGGGGGCUACCUUCCUUGCUCUAUCCAAUGAACCUACCCCGGAUUAACUAGUUGGUGGGGUAAUGGCUCACCCACGCAACCAUCCAUCCCUGGUCUGACAGGAUGAACAACCACACUGGAACUGACACACAGUCCAUACUCCUACCGGAGGCAGGAAUGGGGAAUAUUGGACAAUGGGCGAAAGCCUGAUCCAUCCAUGCCUCGUGUGUGAAUAAGGUCUUCGGAUUGUAAAGCACUUUAUUUUGGGAGGAAGGACAGUAAGUUAAUACCUUGCUGUUUUGAUUUUACCUACCAAUAAACACCGGCUAACUCUGCGGUGCCGCCGCGGUAAUACAUAGGGUGCGUGCGUUAAUCGGAAUUACUGGGCGUAAAGCGCGCGCUAGGUGGUUUGUUAAGUUGGAUGUGAAAGCCCCCCGCUCAACCUGGUAACUGCAUCCUUAACUGGUGAGCUGCAGUAGUGUUGAGGGGGGUGGAAUUUCUUGUGUAGCGGCGAAAUGCUUAGAUAUAGAUAAGGAACACCACUGGCGAAGGCGACCACCUGCACUGAUACUGACUGACGAUGCGCUNCAACAUGGGGAGCAAACAAGAUGAUAUACUCUGCUGGUCCACCCCGCAAACAAUGACAACUACUGGUAGGAAUCCUUCAUAAUUAGUGGCUGCCGCUAACUAAAUUAAUUUGACCACCUGCGUGGAGUACGGGCCGCAGNGUUGAAUACUACUAUAAUUUGAUGGCGGCCCGCCCCAACCAGGCGGAGCAUGUUGUUUAUUUAUUAGCAAGCACGAAGAAGCAUUC
rnacentral:rRNA from 1 species